ACCCUCGUCAGGUCCCCGGGG
rnacentral:miRNA from 1 species